AGAAAUCAAGAAUUGUAAUUAAUUAUUCUAAAAUAAUAAUUUAACUUUUGAAACUUACGUGCGAACCGAAUUUAAUUCUAGAAACUGACGUGGGAAAUUACCGCGUGAAUUGUGUGAACCAAAUUUUCCUACAACUAACGACCGUCAAAUAAGAUUCGUAUAACUAACGACCGUCGAUUGAGGUUUCCAAAAAUCCUCACACUCUCCAAAUCUGCCAUUGACCUAUAAAUAUAAGCCUCCUCCUUCCCCAACUUGCUCCUCGUCUCCCCAGUGAAGAAAAACCCUCUCCCCUUCUCUGUUUCUCUCUUUGUACGUGUAUGCUCACAGUUACGUAUAAAAUUUAUAUAUAUAUAUAGAACAGGCAGAUGAUAAACGAAAUGGCAGAUGGUGAAGAGGAGCUCUGUUUUUGCCCGAGUUUCAACAGCUAUUCGACAGAUGGAAUUGCAGAUAUUGCUGCAAGAGUUACAGGAAUUAACACAAACGAUGCCGUAGAAGAUAAAAAAUAUGCAGACAAUAACUAUGAUGAUGAUGAUUUUGAAUUUGCUUUGGUAGGUGAAAAUCAAGGGUUUUCGGCCGAGGAA
rnacentral:lncRNA from 1 species